UUAAUAAUAUAAUCUGCUCAAUGAUAAUUUAAAUAGCCGCAAUUAGUGCUAAGGUAGCAUAAUAAUUUGUCUUUUAAAUAAAGACUAGAACAAAAGAUUCAACAUUUUCAUUUAUUUAUUUAAAUAAAUUAUUUAAAUUUUUAUUAAAAUUAAAAAAUUUUAAUAAUAAAAAAAGACGAUAAGACCCUAUUGAACUUAACUUAAGUUAAACUGGGGCAGUAAAUUAAUUAUUAUUUUAAUUUUAAUUAAAAUAAUAAUAUCCAUUAUAUUGAUAAUUCAGUUACCAUAGGGAUAACAGCGCAAUUAUAUUUUAAAGAUCUCAUAUAAAAUAUAGAUUACGACCUCGAUGUUGAAUUAAUUACCUAUUUAAGGUAAAUCUUAAACAAGGAAGCCUGUUCGGCUUUUAAACAAUUACAUGAUUUGAGUUCAGACCGGUAUAAGCCAGGUCGGUUUCUAUCUUUUAGAAAAAUUUUUACAGUACGAAAGGACCUACUAAUAUAAUUUAAUUAUUAAAUUGGCAGAUUAAUGCAUUAGAAUUAGAAUCUAAUAAACUA
rnacentral:rRNA from 1 species